rnacentral:lncRNA from 1 species
GCAGCUUCGGCAGGGCCUGCGCGAGAUAAGGAACGAAGGGAAGAGGAGGAGAGAAGAUAAGGGAGGGGAGAGGAGGAGAUAAGGUGGGGAGAGAGGGGAGACUAAAGGCCCCGGGGAGGCGUUUAGUCCUGGUUGAAAACACAACUAGGACUGAAGGCCCCCAUUUAGUCCCGGUUGGUGUUUUCAGCCGGGAUUAAAAGGCCCAUCAUCCCACUAGCCGUUACAACCGGGACUAAAGGGGCUCUUUAGUCCUGAUUGAUAUUACCAACUGGGACUAAAGAGCCCCCCUUUGGUGGCCAUUGGUGGUGGACUUUUGAACGGGGCUAAAGGCUCUUUAGUCCCGGGUCCAAAGACAACCGGGAAAAAAAACAUUGGAUGGAAGGUGAGU